GGAGUGUAGCUCAAUUGGCAGAGCGCCGGUCUCCAAAACCGGGGGUUGUGGGUUCGAGUCCCUC
rnacentral:tRNA from 1 species